rnacentral:rRNA from 1 species
GACGAACGCUGGCGGCGUGCCUAAUACAUGCAAGUCGCACGCUUCUUUCCUCCCGAGUGCUUGCACUCAAUUGGAAAGAGGAGUGGCGGACGGGUGAGUAACACGUGGGUAACCUACCCAUCAGAGGGGGAUAACACUUGGAAACAGGUGCUAAUACCGCAUAACAGUUUAUGCCGCAUGGCAUAAGAGUGAAAGGCGCUUUCGGGUGUCGCUGAUGGAUGGACCCGCGGUGCAUUAGCUAGUUGGUGAGGUAACGGCUCACCAAGGCCACGAUGCAUAGCCGACCUGAGAGGGUGAUCGGCCACACUGGGACUGAGACACGGCCCAGACUCCUACGGGAGGCAGCAGUAGGGAAUCUUCGGCAAUGGACGAAAGUCUGACCGAGCAACGCCGCGUGAGUGAAGAAGGUUUUCGGAUCGUAAAACUCUGUUGUUAGAGAAGAACAAGGACGUUAGUAACUGAACGUCCCCUGACGGUAUCUAACCAGAAAGACACGGCUAACUACGUG